UUUUCUUUCUUUUUCCUCUCAGAUUUUUGACUCGAUUUCUUUAGUUUCCCUGUUGUUUUUACCUCAACUUUUCCUUUUUUUUCUAUUCUCUCUUUUUUUUCCUUCUCACCUUUUCCCUCUUGAUCUUUUGCUCUCGAUUUUUCAAUAGAGUUUUUCAAUUUGAGUUGGUCUUCAUACACUUAUUUAGGGGUAAGUGGCGCUAGGGUUACAUUUUUCCCAAGAUGUUUGAACAUUUAUCUAUUGGUGUAACCAUCAU
rnacentral:lncRNA from 1 species